rnacentral:rRNA from 1 species
GACGGAGGAUGCAAGCGUUAUCCGGAAUGAUUGGGCGUAAAGCGUCCGCAGGUGGCAGUUCAAGUCUGCUGUCAAAGACCGGGGCUUAACUUCGGAAAGGCAGUGGAAACUGAACAGCUAGAGUAUGGUAGGGGCAGAGGGAAUUCCUGGUGUAGCGGUGGAAUGCGCAGAUAUCAGGAGGAACACCAAUGGCGAAGGCAGCACUCUGGGACGUGACUGACGCUGAGACGCGAAAGCGUGGGGAGCAAACAGG